UACUUUUACAUUGAUGUAUACUUCCUUACAGAUUACUAUGUGCUCAAGAAGAUUAUAAUUUACGAUG
rnacentral:tRNA from 1 species